ACCAAGGAGAUGGUGCUUCUAAAAGUAUUCUAGCUCAAUUUUAUAUAUAUAUAUAUAUAUAUAGAAUUAGGCUGGAAUAUUAUUAACAGUAAAACGCUCUUUUCGCUAUCAAGUUUUUAACCCCUGGAUGAAAAAUUAUAGGGUCAGGAUGAUAUUAGUCGGUUAGAGUUGAGUGGUCCCCCUAGGGUUGAGUGGUCCCCACUGGGUUAUAGUAUUUAAUCCAAUGAUUAGAAAUAAUGAAAAGAGUUGAUCCAAAGGCUAAAAAACUGGUAGCAACCAUGGGAUUUUGCUACUAAUAGUAGCCCAGUCCACCUCUCUCUCUUUCUCUCUCUCUCUCUCUCUCUAUAUAUAUAUAGGGUUGAGCCAGAAUACUUCCAAGAGCACCAAAGAGGUGGUGCUUUUGAGUUUUUAGCCUUUAGAUGAAGAAAUGUAGGGUUGGGAUGAUGGUGGUAGGUGGUGGUAGGUGGUGGUAGGUGGUGGUAGGUGGUGGUAGGUGGUGGUAGGUGGUGGUAGGUGGUGGUAGGUGGAAUAGUGUUUGAUACAAAAGCUAUUAAUAAUCAAGAAAUAGAUCAAAGGGCUAAAAAUUUAGAACCACCAAGAAGAUGGUGCUUCUAAAAGUAUUCUAGCUCAAUUUUAUAUAUAUAUAUAUAGAGAGAGAGAGAGAGAGAGAGAGAGAGAGAGAGAGAGAGAGAGAGAGAGAGAGAGAGAGAGAGAGAGAGAGAGAGAGAGAGAGAGAGAGAGAGAGAGAGAGAGAGAGAGAGAGAGAGAGAGAGAGAGAGAGAGAGAAAGAGAGAGUUGAGCUAUGAUACUUUUACAAGUAUCACCAUCAUGGUGCUAUUAGGUUUUAAGCCAUUGGAUCUACUUUUUGAUUAUUAAUAGCCUUUGGAUUAAACACUAUUCCACCUACCACCACCUACCACCAUCAUCUCAACCUCACAUCUCUCCAUCCAAGGGCUAAAAAUACACAAGUAUCACCCCCAUGAUACUUUUACAAGUAUUCUAGCCCUACUCUAUAUAUAUAUAUAUA
rnacentral:lncRNA from 1 species